UAUAACUCUUCUUUACCUUUCGCAAUGCAAGCUUAUCCAUUUGUUUGUGAUCUUGUAGGAUUUUAUCCAAGUAGAAUUUCUGUGGUGUUUAUAGGAACAGUCAGCAAACUAUGAACACAUACUGAAGGGAAAAUAUGCGUCAUCAGCUACAGAAAAGUGAUAUUACUAAGACAGAGAAUUGACCAGAGUCUGUUUGGUGUCUAAUUAAUGAGCUUAAUUUGAUUAGUUGCCUCAGUGGCAUAGUUCUUUCUUUUUUCAGUAUCUAUCUGUAAGUCAGUUACCAGAUAAAAAAUCUGAGAAGAUCUGAAGGCAUUUAUUCUAGUUGAUAAGGAUCUGAAUCAACGGGUGUUGGAAAUCAACUGGAUUGAACUGCUUUGAAAUGUAGUUAGAGUUGGCAAAGGUCUUCCGUGAUGGCAAGACCAUCAUCUUUCCUAGUUUGGGAGUAAUUCGUUGAACAACUGAUGAAAGACUCAUGUAUGGAGUAAAGACAUCUCCAUGGAAAUCAUGAGAUUUUUCUGCUUCAUUAUUUUCUAACUGGCUGUGUGAUUUAAUCUUUCUGUUCGCAUGUUUCCAUAGUAGUGUGUUGCUUAAUUGUGAGAAGAAAUGAAUCCACCAUUCUCCUGUAGUGAA